rnacentral:tRNA from 1 species
AGCAGAUUAGCCAAGCGGUAAGGCUACGGACUCUGACUCCGUCAUGCACAGGUUCGAAUCCUGUAUCUGCUG